rnacentral:rRNA from 1 species
GGGAUAACUACUGGAACGGUAGCUAAUACCGCAUAACGUCGCAAGACCAAAGAGGGGGACCUUCGGGCCUCUUGCCAUCGGAUGUGCCCAGAUGGGAUUAGCUAGUAGGUGGGGUAACGGCUCACCUAGGCGACGAUCCCUAGCUGGUCUGAGAGGAUGACCAGCCACACUGGAACUGAGACACGGUCCAGACUCCUACGGGAGGCAGCAGUGGGGAAUAUUGCACAAUGGGCGCAAGCCUGAUGCAGCCAUGCCGCGUGUAUGAAGAAGGCCUUCGGGUUGUAAAGUACUUUCAGCGGGGAGGAAGGGAGUAAAGUUAAUACCUUUGCUCAUUGACGUUACCCGCAGAAGAAGCACCGGCUAACUCCGUGCCAGCAGCCGCGGUAAUACGGAGGGUGCAAGCGUUAAUCGGAAUUACUGGGCGUAAAGCGCACGCAGGCGGUUUGUUAAGUCAGAUG